rnacentral:rRNA from 1 species
GACGAACGCUGGCGGCGUGCUUAACACAUGCAAGUCGAACGGAAAGGCCCUGCUUGCAGGGUACUCGAGUGGCGAACGGGUGAGUAACACGUGGGUGAUCUGCCCUGCACUUCGGGAUAAGCCUGGGAAACUGGGUCUAAUAACGGAUAGGAGCCAUUUUUAGUGUGAUGGUUGGAAAGUUUUUUCGGUGUAGGAUGAGCUCGCGGCCUAUCAGCUUGUUGGUGGGGUAAUGGCCUACCAAGGCGGCGACGGGUAGCCGGCCUGAGAGGGUGGACGGCCACAUUGAGACUGAGAUACGGCCCAGACUCCUACGGGAGGCAGCAGUGGGGAAUAUUGCACAAUGGGCGCAAGCCUGAUGCAGCGACGCCGCGUGGGGGAUGACGGCCUUCGGGUUGUAAACUCCUUUCGCUAGGGACGAAGCUUUUUGUGACGGUACCUAGAUAAGAAGCACCGGCUAACUACGUG